UACAGAGGUCCCGAGCGUUGUUCGGAUUUAUUGGGCGUAAAGGGUGCGUAGGCGGCGGAGUAAGUUGGGUGUGAAAUCCCGGGGCUCAACCUCGGAAUUGCAUUCAAUACUGCUUCGCUCGAGUACUGGAGAGGAGGCUGGAAUUUACGGUGUAGCAGUGAAAUGCGUAGAUAUCGUAAGGAAGGCCGGUGGCGAAAGCGAGCCUCUGGACAGUUACUGACGCUGAUGCACGAAGGCCAGGGGAGCAAACAGG
rnacentral:rRNA from 1 species